rnacentral:rRNA from 1 species
UACGUAGGGACCGAGCGUUGUCCGGAUUCAUUGGGCGUAAAGAGCUCGUAGGCGGCUGUUCAAGUCGAACGUGAAAACUCGGAGCUCAACUCCGAGCCUGCGUUCGAUACUGGACGGCUAGAGUCUGGUAGGGGGAUCUGGAAUUCCCAGUGUAGCGGUGAAAUGCGUAGAUAUCAAGAGGAACACCUGAGGUGAAGGCGGCCAGCUGGGUCGUCCCUGACGCUGAGGCGCGAAGGCGUGGGGAGCGAACGGG